UUACGGCCACAUCACGUUGAAACACUAGUUCUUGUAAAAUCACUUAAGUUAAGCAACAUCAAUCCUGGUUAGUACCUAGAUGGGUGACCACUUGGGAAUACCAGGUGAUGUAU